ACCAUCGAUCACUUUCCCAUUUCAACCUACUUUGCCAAUUCAUAACAUCCCCCAUCCCUUAGAGAAUAUCAUUGUCCUCAAGGUCGAUGUUGAGCCACAAAAUUAGGAAAGUGAUGCUUGAUAUACCCCCAAUCUUUCCAUGUAGCAUCCUCCUCCCUAAGAUUUGCCCACUGAACCAACACUUUAACUCCCACGCCAUUAUCAAUCUUCACCAUUUUUUAUUGUAAUAUGGCCACUGGUUGAAUCAACACCCGACCGUUAGUAUCACACGAUGGUGGCUGAAGCUGAGGCUCGAUAGUUGGACCGAUUCUCUUAUUGAGUUGAGAGACGUGGAAGACUGGAUAAAUUUGAGAGCUUUCAGGAAGCUCUAAGAGGUUUAAGGGGGAUAAAAUGAUCAUGGCUUUUUUGUGGUGGCAAGGACUUUGGCUCUUCAAACACAUCUGAAAACUCCUCAAGUACUUCACUUAUUCUUUUAGGUAUGGCCACUUGUAUUUCAGUAACCUUAGUAGUAGUUGUAAAUAAAUGAGCCCGCCCGCAACACCUUCCCUUUUCUAAGAAGGUGCUUCACUCCACCAGCUGUCAUGCUAUGGAGCUUACCUUCCUCAGAAUAUCCCUUAAGGUCCACCCUUUUUACCUUCACAAUCACUUGUAGCCUGUAUUCAAUGAAAUCAAAUAGAAUGGGAUUAUGCUUCCUCAUCCAAUCCACUCCUAAGACCACAUCACACCCAUCAAUAUCCGGUAAUCUUAGCUUAUGUUCAAAGUAUAUCCAUUGAGUUUUCCAACUGAAUUGAGGACAAGAUUGGUAACUCAUUAGAUAGCCCUUAUUUAGCCACAACUACUCUCAUAGGUGUAUCAUCUUUAACUAUGCAUCCUAGGUAUUUUACAGUCUCACUAGCUAUAAAACUUUUGGUAUUUCCACUGUCUGCUAAGAUAUUUGGCAUCUUCUUCCCAUACACCCCUCUAAGCUUUAUGGUAGUAGAAGUUAUUGUGCCAGAAAGUGCAUUGGGACUGACGGCCUCAUCCAGUAUCUCCUUGAUGGAGUGAUUCCGAGCUAUGUAGAUGUUAUGGCAUGGAUUCAUGCUAUUUUGGAGUUUUGAAUUUGAGUAAUAACCCAAGGGUUAAGUUGGGAUCGUGUUCGGGGAUCAACGGAUGAUAGUGGAACGAAACGAAGAAUCGAGCAGGAGUGAUUUCGAGCUAUGUAGAUGUUGUGGUAUGAAUUCAUGCUAUUUGGAUCUUUGAAAUUUAAGUAAAAGCCCAAGGGUUAAGUUGGGAUCGUGUUCGGGGAUCAACAGAUGAUAGUGGAAUGAAAUGAAGAAUCGAGCAGGUAUAUUGUGCAGUGUCCAGUAAAAUGCACAUAACAUUUCGCUCGGAACUCUAUUUAGGCUCUAACAUAUAUCGUUGGAAAUUUAUUUAAAAGGGCUUCAACUUUUAUGUUUUACACUUUCCCAAAUUCCUAACGUAUACAACCCAGGUGCACAACCAAGUGCACGAUCGCGUACUGGGCGCGCACUUGGGGCGGAAUCGUGUGCAAAGUGCGUGACCAGGUGCGCGGUCGCGCAUGUCCUGUCCGAGAAAAGCCCUAUUUUUCUAAGAGAGGGUAGUUUCGUCCGGAUUUUUUUUGGGGGCGGAUUAAAUACCCCAAAACACCAUUUUUGAGGGGCUAUUGGACAUACCUUAGACCUAGGGAAGCUUAGGAGAAGAAGGAGAAGCAAGAGAACGAAGAUUUCAUCCUUCCUUCCUCACUCAAAUCCGAGUUUGGAUUGUAUUU